CCUACGGGCGGCAGCAGUGGGGAAUAUUGCACAAUGGGGGAAACCCUGAUGCAGCGACGCCGCGUGAAGGAAGAAGUAUUUCGGUAUGUAAACUUCUAUCAGCAGGGAAGAAAAUGACGGUACCUGACUAAGAAGCCCCGGCUAACUACGUGCCAGCAGCCGCGGUAAUACGUAGGGGGCAAGCGUUAUCCGGAUUUACUGGGUGUAAAGGGGGCGUAGGCGGUUUAGCAAGUCAGAAGUGAAAGCCCGGGGCUCAACUCCGGGACUGCUUUUGAAACUGUUGAACUAGAUUGCAGGAGAGGUAAGUGGAAUUCCUAGUGUAGCGGUGAAAUGCGUAGAUAUUAGGAGGAACACCGGUGGCGAAGGCGGCCUGCUGGACUGCGACUGACGUUGAGGCCCGAAAGCGUGGGGAGCAAACAGGAUUAGAUACCCUUGUAGUC
rnacentral:rRNA from 1 species